UCGGGAAUUUUGGGCAAUGGGCGAGAGCCUGACCCAGCAACGCCGCGUGAAGGAUGAAGUAUUUCGGUAUGUAAACUUCGAAAGAAUAGGAAGAAUAAAUGACGGUACUAUUUAUAAGGUCCGGCUAACUACGUGCCAGCAGCCGCGGUAAUACGUAGGGACCAAGCGUUGUUCGGAUUUACUGGGCGUAAAGGGCGCGUAGGCGGCAAUUCAAGUCAUCUGUGAAAUCUCCGGGCUUAACUCGGAACGGUCAGAUGAUACUGCUUUGCUAGAGUGCAGAAGGGGCAAUCGGAAUUCUUGGUGUAGCGGUGAAAUGCGUAGAUAUCAAGAGGAACACCUGAGGCGAAGGCGGGUUGCUGGGCUGAUACUGACGCUGAGGCGCGAAAGCGUGGGGAGCAAACAGGAUUAGAUACCCCAGUAGUCCCUGAGCGGGCUGGCAAGGCGCAU
rnacentral:rRNA from 1 species